AACGAACGCUGGCGGCAUGCCUAACACAUGCGAGUCGAACGAGACCUUCGGGUCUAGUGGCGCACGGGUGCGUAACGCGUGGGAACCUGCCUUUAGGUUCGGAAUAACUCAGAGAAAUUUGAGCUAAUACCGGAUGAUGUCUUCGGACCAAAGAUUUAUCGCCUUUAGAUGGGCCCGCGUUGGAUUAGCUAGUUGGUGGGGUAAAGGCCUACCAAGGCGACGAUCCAUAGCUGGUCUGAGAGGAUGAUCAGCCACACUGGGACUGAGACACGGCCCAGACUCCUACGGGAGGCAGCAGUGGGGAAUAUUGGACAAUGGGCGAAAGCCUGAUCCAGCAAUGCCGCGUGAGUGAUGAAGGCCUUAGGGUUGUAAAGCUCUUUUACCCGAGAUGAUAAUGACAGUAUCGGGAGAAUAAGCUCCGGCUAACUCCGUG
rnacentral:rRNA from 1 species